rfam:Colletotrichum salicis strain CBS 607.94 Scaffold_23.1, whole genome shotgun sequence.
CCGUCUUUUGCCAUAGCUCGAUCAGUUCAGCCUUCUCGUCUUCUGAUCUUGAGCCGGAUACACCACGCCUCGCGCGCGGUAGUAUGAGACAAGAUCGAACCCCAGGCAAUGCUCUUUGAGUACGUAACCUUCUGAUUCUAUGUGAAGGCUUGCGUAAUUUAUCUGUUGUCACAUCU